GACUGGGAGGCGCGAGAUAAGCCGUGAACCCGGUCAGGCCCGGAAGGGAGCAGCCGUAAGCGAGACUUACUGUGUUGCAACCCUGUCGCCU
rnacentral:SRP_RNA from 1 species